AUAACGGUCCUAAGGUAGCGAAAUUCCUUGUCGGGUAAGUUCCGACCCGCACGAAUGGUGUAACGACUUGUGAGCUGUCUCAACAGGGGGCCCGGUGAAAUUGAAGUAUGGGUGAAGAUGCCCAUUACCCGCGACUGGACGGAAAGACCCCGUAGAGCUUUACUGCAGCCUGAUAUUGAGUUUCGGUAAUUGAUGCACAGGAUAGGUGGGAGUCUGAGAGACACGGGUUUCGGCUCGUGUGGAGACGAUGUUGGGAUACCACUCUUCGGUUACUGAAAUUCUAACAUAGCUCUGUGAAACCAGAGGAUGGACAGUGUCAGGUGGACAGUUUGACUGGGGCGGUCGCCUCCGAAAGAGUAACGGAGGCGCCCAAAGGUACCCUCAGAAUGGAUGGAAACCAUUCGAAGAGCGCAAAGGCAGAAGGGUGCCUGACUGCGAGAUUGACAAAUCGAGCAGAGACGAAAGUCGGGCUUAGUGAUCCGGCGGUAUUGAGUGGAAAAGCCGUCGCUUAACGGAUAAAAGCUACCUCGGGGAUAACAGGCUGAUCUCCCCCAAGAGUCCACAUCGACGGGGAGGUUUGGCACCUCGAUGUCGGCUCAUCACAUCCUGGGGCUGUAUUCGGUCCCAAGGGUUCGGCUGUUCGCCGAUUAAAGUGGUACGCGAGCUGGGUUCAGAACGUCGCGAGACAGUUCGGUCCCUAUCUGUCGUGGGCGCAGGAUAUUUGAGGAGCUCUGUCCUUAGUACGAGAGGACCGGGAUGGACGUACCUCUGGUGCACCAGUUGUCAUGCCAAUGGCACGGCUGGGCAGCUAUGUACGGAACGGAUAAACGCUGAAAGCAUCUAAGCGUGAAGCCGACUCCAAGAUUAGAUAUCCCAUCGUAUAACGAGUAAGACCCCUUGAAGACUACGAGGUUGAUAGGCUGCGUGUGUAAGUGCCGUGAGGCAUUCAGCUUGGCAGUACUAAUAGGUCGAGGGCUUGACCAC
rnacentral:rRNA from 1 species